GACUAAUUGGCUGCCAGGCUGAUUGGGCUGGCUAUGGCUUGAACACUGGAGGCUUAGGCCCUUUCCUCUCCCUUUGGCUGCCUGUUCUUUGCUCCCUCUCACCCCCACCCACCUGAGUCUCCCCUUCUCCAAGAUGCUGAGGGCUAUCUUGAGGUCACGUCUCCCUACACCCUCUCUUUGGGCCGACCCAGCCACACCGUGGGGCACAGUCUGGGCCUGCCUCCUCUCUGCCCUUUCCCCUCCCCACCUCUGGCCCAGGAAAAAGCCAGCAGAACCCGAAUCCAUCCCAGGUGCCAAGCCCUCUGUGGAUGGGCCUUCCUGGCUGGGAAGCAGCAUCAAGCUGGGAGGACCCUCCUGGUGGUCUGAGUUCUGCUGGCAUGUGCCAGGCAGCACCGUGUGGGCAUUCCUACUCCGCAGUCCCAGGUCCAUAUCAGCUGGGAAAGAGACCCUCCAGGGAGCACCAGGGAGCGGCUAGACAGUCACCUCCAUCGUGCCAGCUGUGAAUGACACCUGGGAGAGACUAGCAAGGAAGAAAGGAGGCUGCUAGGCAAGAGAGGGCUGCCUCCAAGGGCCAAGGAUUGUGCCGGGGGGGUGGAGACCUCAGUUAAGACUCCUUCAGCCCCAGGACUCCCCAUCACCCACAUUCUCUCUUAACAUCACCCUGUAUUAUAAUUAUUGGUCUUCCUAGCCAGUGCCUGGCACACAGUAGGCUCACAGUAGGCCCUGGCACAUUGUAGACCCUCAAUAUUUGUUGGAUGGAUGCAUGAAUGGAUGCAUGAAUGAAUGAAUGAGGGCAGGGCGCUUUGUCAUAUCCACCCCAUUCCUCAGCUCCUAGCACGAGGGCGGCAGGUGCCAACAGGCAUCUGUAGCAGUGAACCUUUUCAGAGAAGCGGCAGCCCCCUGGGUCGCGUAUUCCAAGAGAGGACAUCCUGCCCAGGUACACAGUAGGGCGGUUUCCUCAAAGGGACUCGGCUGCGACAUGCGUGUUUAUUACCAUAUGGCAAUUGUUCAUAGGAACACUGAUACCUCUGCACACCGUCGCCUGGGGAGCCCAGUCCUCCAGCUCUUGUUUCAUAAGACACAGCUCCUGAGCCUUUUCUUUUGCCCCAGAGAAAGACACAUCUGAAGCACGGAGAGGCGUGGUUAGCAGAUGGCACAGGGUGACUUUGCCAAAGGGAAAGUCACCCAGGGCAGCCACAGUCUUUUCAUUUGCUUAACAUCCCUCGACUCCUGUCUCCUAAUGGGUUGGCUGCCAGGGCAGGGCCUCUGCUCUGCAUUCCUGGCGCUCAGACCCCUGAGUCAUAGUGGGACAUGCCUCCUCCUUGAGCACUAGCGGAGGGGGCAGGCGGCCCCCAGCCUCCCUCUGUCCAUGGUGGUGAGCCAGGCUCUUCCCAACAGAGGGCACUACAGCACAAAGC
rnacentral:lncRNA from 1 species